rnacentral:rRNA from 1 species
ACCCGUAUAUAUGUGAAGGAAUGACGGAGAGAGGAAGCUGCAGCCAGCGGCUGGAAGAGCUGGUGCAAGCGAGAUAUCGGGAUGGCAGGCAAAUCCACCAUCCGAAACGAGAAGGCGUGAAGCGUACGGAAAGCUACGGCGAGUACGGAAGGCAGUGGAGGAACUUCCAAGAAAAGUUUCUAACGUUAAGUAUAUAUGGCCCGUACCGAAAAUGGACACACAUGGGUGAGGAGAGAAUCCUAAGGUGAGCGAGAGAACUAUAGCUAAGGAACUCUGCAAAAUGACUCCGUAACUUAGGGAGAAGGAGUGCUCAUAGAGAUAUGAGCCGCAGUGAAACGGCCCAAGCGACUGUUUACCAAAAACACAGCUCUCUGCUAAGCCGCAAGGCGAAGUAUAGGGGGUGACGCCUGCCCGGUGCUGGAAGGUUAAGGGGAGGGGUUAACGCAAGUGAAGCCCUGAACUGAAGCCCCAGUAAACGGCGGCCGUAACUAUAACGGUCCUAAGGUAGCGAAAUUCCUUGUCAGGUAAGUUCUGACCCGCACGAAAGGCGUAACGAUUUGGGCGCUGUCUCAGCUGUAGACUCGGUGAAGUCUUAGUACCUGUGAAGAUGCAGGUUACCCGCGACUAGACGGAAAGACCCCAUGGAGCUUCACUGCAGGUUGAUAUUGGGAUUUGAUGCAGCAUGUACAGGAUAGGUAGGAGGCAAAGAGAUGGAUACGCCAGUAUUCAAGGAGCCGCUGUUGGGAUACUACCCCUGUUGUAUUGGAUUUCUAACCGGACGACGUAGAGCCGUUGACGGGACAGUGUCAGUCGGGCAGUUUGACUGGGGCGGUCGCCUCCCAAAGAGUAACGGAGGCGCCCAAAGAUACCCUCAGCUUGGAUGGAAACCAAGCGCAGAGGGCAAAGGCAAAAGGGGGUUUGACUGCGGGACCUACAAGUCGAGCAGGGACGAAAGUCGGGCUUAGUGAUCCGGCGGUGCUGAAUGGAAAGGCCGUCGCUCAACGGAUAAAAGCUACCCUGGGGAUAACAGGCUGAUCUCCCCCAAGAGUUCACAUCGACGGGGAGGUUUGGCACCUCGAUGUCGGCUCAUCGCAUCCUGGAGCUGAAGUCGGUUCCAAGGGUUGGGCUGUUCGCCCAUUAAAGCGGUACGCGAGCUGGGUUCAGAACGUCGUGNNNNNNNNNNGAGCUGGGUUCAGAACGUCGUGAGACAGUUCGGUCCCUAUCUGUCGUGGGCGCAGGAAAUUUGAGAAGAGCUGUCCUCAGUACGAGAGGACCGGGAUGGACGCAUCAAUGGUGGACCAGUUGUCACGCCAGUGGCAUAGCUGGGUAGCUAAAUGCGGAAGGGAUAAACGCUGAAGGCAUCUAAGUGUGAAACCCACUUCAAGAUGAGAUUUCCCAUUGCGCAAGCAAGUAAGACCCCUUAAAGACGAUAAGGUAGAUAGGUCAGGAGUGUAAGCAUGGUGACAUGUUA